rnacentral:rRNA from 1 species
UCAGGAUGAACGCUAGCGGCAGGCUUAACACAUGCAAGGUCGAGGGGCAUCGGGAGUAGCAAUACUUGCCGGCGACCGGCGCAAGGGUGCGUAACGCGUGAGCAACAUGCCCGUAUCAGGGGGAUAAUCCAUGGAAACGUGGUCUAAUACCCCAUAGUAAUUAUGUAAGGCAUCUUAUAUAAUUUAAAGCUUUGGUGGAUACGGAUUGGCUCGCGUGACAUUAGCUGGAUGGUAAGGUAACGGCUUACCAUGGCUACGAUGUCUAGGGGUUCUGAGAGGAAGGUCCCCCACACUGGAACUGAGACACGGUCCAGACUCCUACGGGAGGCAGCAGUGAGGAAUAUUGGACAAUGGAUGGAAAUCUGAUCCAGCCAUGCCGCGUGCAAGGAAGACGGCCCUAUGGGUUGUAAACUUCUUUUGUAUGGGAGCAAUAAGGCCUACGAGUAGGCUGAUGAGAGUACCAUACGAAUAAGCACCGGCUAACUCCGUGCCAGCCGCCGC